GUCAUAUGCUUGUCUCAAAGAUUAAGCCAUGCAUGUCUCAGUACAAGCCAAAUUAAGGUGAAACCGCGAAAGGCUCAUUAAAUCAGUUAUGGUUCCUUAGGUCGUACCCACAAUUACUUGGAUAACUGUGGUAAUUCUAGAGCUAAUACAUGCAAACAGAGCUCCGACCGGAGACGGAAGGAGUGCUUUUAUUAGAUCAAAACCAAUCGGUGGCGGGUUCGCUCGUCAUCGUGCAACUUGGUGACUCUGAAUAACUUUAUGCUGAUCGCACGGUCAUCGCACCGGCGACGCAUCUUUCAAAUGUCUGCCUUAUCAACUGUCGAUGGUAGGUUCUGCGCCUACCAUGGUUGUAACGGGUAACGGGGAAUCAGGGUUCGAUUCCGGAGAGGGAGCCUGAGAAACGGCUACCACAUCCAAGGAAGGCAGCAGGCGCGCAAAUUACCCACUCCCGGCACGGGGAGGUAGUGACGAAAAAUAACGAUACGGGACUCAUCCGAGGCCCCGUAAUCGGAAUGAGUACACUCUAAACCCUUUAACGAGGAUCAAUUGGAGGGCAAGUCUGGUGCCAGCAGCCGCGG
rnacentral:rRNA from 1 species